rnacentral:tRNA from 1 species
GGGGCUGUGAGGUAGUCUGGCUAUCCUGGCGGGCUCCAGACCCGUAUACCUGGGUUCGAAUCCCAGCAGCCCCA